UACAGAGGGGGCAAGCGUUAUUCGGAAUUAUUGGGCGUAAAGGGCGCGUAGGCGGCCUGGCAAGUGGAUGGUGAAAUCCCUCGGCUUAACCGAGGAACUGCCAUCCAGACUGCUUGGCUUGAGACCGGGAGAGGUGAGUGGAAUUCCCAGUGUAGCGGUGAAAUGCGUAGAUAUUGGGGAGGAACACCAGUGGCGAAGGCGGCUCACUGGACCGGUACUGACGCUGAGGCGCGAAAGCGUGGGGAGCAAACGGG
rnacentral:rRNA from 1 species